CCGCUCCUCCGCGUCGUACGCGGCCUGCUGCAGCGUCAGGAUCUUCCUUCGGACCGCUUCCACGGACAUCAACGUCGCCAUUUUUACCCCCGAGUCUCCUCACCUUUACGUCGGGAGGAAGGCGUCACGGCGUUUCCAAGCUUCUCCUGGGCAUCCUUCAGAGACUCGGAGUAUUUGUCCAGCUCAUCUUCAACUCCUUUGAGCUUCUUCUGCAGGCCCAGCAGCUCCUCCUCUAGCUACACCAGUAAAGGGAAAUAUGUCAGAAAAAAGGAAAGUUUUUAUGCACAUGCACAUAAAUAUUUAUAUUAAAAGAUAUGCAUGCAAACACA